UACAGAGGUCUCAAGCGUUUGUUCGGAUUCAUUGGGCGUAAAGGGUGCGUAGGUGGCGCCGUAAGUCGGGUGUGAAAUUUCGGAGCUUAACUCCGAAACUGCAUUCGAUACUGCGGUGCUUGAGGACUGGAGAGGAGACUGGAAUUCAUGGUGUAGCAGUGAAAUGCGUAGAGAUCAUGAGGAGACCAGUGGCGAAGGCGGGUCUCUGGACAGUUCCUGACACUGAGGCACGAAGGCCAGGGGAGCAAACGGG
rnacentral:rRNA from 1 species